rfam:Felis catus isolate Cinnamon breed Abyssinian chromosome C1, whole genome shotgun sequence.
GCCUGGGUGGCUCAGCUGGUUAAGCGUCCGACUUUGGCUCAGGUCAUGAUCUUGCAGUUUGUGGGUUCGAGCCCCACGUCGGGCU